rnacentral:rRNA from 1 species
CUGACCUCGAAUCAGGUGGGACUACCCGCUGAACUUAAGCAUAUCAAUAAGCGGAGGAAAAGAAACUAACAAGGAUUCCCUUAGUAACUGCGAGUGAAGUGGGAUGAGCUCAAAUUUAAAAUCUGGUGGUCUUUGGCUGCCCGAGUUGUAAUCUAGAGAAGUGUUUUCUGUGCUGGACUGUGUUUAAGUUUCCUGGAUAUGGAACAUCAUAGAGGGUGAGAAUCCCGUCCUUAACACAGACACCCCAGUGCUCUGUGAUGCACUCUCGACGAGUCGAGUUGUUUGGGAUUGCAGCUCAAAAUGGGAGGUAAAUUCCUUCUAAAGCUAAAUAUUGGCGAGAGACCGAUAGCGAACAAGUACCGUGAGGGAAAGAUGAAAAGCACUUUGGAAAGAGAGUUAAACAGUACGUGA